AAAUCUGAGCCAGAUUGCUCCUGUACUCUCGAGAGUGGCGCACGUGCAACUAUCUUUUCUUUUUUCCCCUUGUGUCCCUCUAUGACUGAGUUUCCUGUGAUUGAGAGGAUGGAUGUCUUCUUGCUGACUGCCGACCUCAUCUAAACAUCUGUUGCUCGAACAUCUGCGAGGAUGUAUCGAACAUCGAGUCAUGUGAUGAAUGAGUCUCCUGUGUCCUCUCAGACUGUGGCUGAUCAGCUGAAACCUUAUGUGGAAUAUUUCUUUCUGCCUAUUGUCUUGGAUCUACCCUAAUCUCCUUAGCUACCACACUGGCUGGUCGUGAAGGAGACCCGGCUCAUCAAGCUCUGGCUCCCGCUACUGACCUGCAAGCCAUCCGAUGAUCGAAUCGUCGUCUUCGUCAAUAUAAUCAUCU
rnacentral:lncRNA from 1 species